rnacentral:lncRNA from 1 species
UCACAAGUCACACAAUAUUCCAAUCAAAUACAGAUGGUUGAGAAAAGUCAUCCAUCUUCCCUCCCCACCCUCCCACAGCCCCUCAACCACUGCCCUGAAACUUAUAUGCUGUUAUCCGCAGCUCCAUCUGGAGCAUCACAGCUACUGUCAACCCUGACGCUCUUUCUGAAAAAACACCGGAUGGACAUCAGAACUAUUUCUUUAAGGAUGUUACUGAGCCACACAGGAAAACUUGCCUUAUGAUUUUGAAUGCACGGAUCUGAUUUGACUAAACAUGAUAACUAGAGAAUCACCCAAUCUACUCCCAUUUUCAACUCUAAAUCAUCAGAGUGUCUCAAAUCCAAAGCACACACAGACCAGCCUGGCCAACACGGUGAAACUCCACCCCUACUAAAAGUAUAAAAAUUAUCCAGGUGUGGUGGCGGGCGCCUGUAAUCCAAGCUACUUGGGAGUCUGGAGGCAGGAGAAUCCCUUGAACCUGGGAGAUGGAGGUUGCAGUGAGCAGAGAUCACACCACCGCACUCUAGCCUGGGCCACAAAUCAACAACAACAACAACAACAAAAAACAAAGCGCACACAGAGACUGAGGUCCUCUUUGGCAUUGAGAAGAUGGCUAUGCAAGUCCCAACUAGCAAGUGCAAACUUCCCAGCUUCACUUCUGCCAGUGUCCCUUCACCCCUUCUCAACCCCACUGGGAGGCAGGAGGGUGCUUGACAAUAACAGCCUUGGCAUCACUCUGCCAGGGUGUAAUAGGAACUGUUACAAUUCUGAGAUUCUGUAUGGGAGUGUCUAGUUGCAGGAAACAAGCUCAGGGCUUCCACUGAUUCUACAUUAUGGCUGUGGCUUGCCUUUUCACUUCUUGUGUCCUGUUUAAGAAAUAUCUGCUAUCCCAAGCAUCUGGCAUCUUUCUUGACAUAUGUAGCAGUUGCUUUUUGACAGCUUGCUUCUUCAGUGAAUGAAUAAAUUAAUAAAGAGAAAUGUGAUGUUCAGUGAUCCAUUUUGCAGAUAACACUAACAAAGUUGACCUUAGAAUUGGAGUGCCUGGGUUAGAACCCUGCUGGUACCACCUGCUUACUGCAUGCUUCUGAUGUGAGUUCAGGAGAAGACACUGGCAAGGACAGCAAAGAACAGGAGAACACUCUAGCUUCCCUGAUAGCAUUCAAGGUGCUGUCCAAAAGUUUCACUCUUAUUGCCCAGGCUGGAGUGGAAUGGCGCAAUCUUGGCUCACUGCAACCUCCGUCUUUCGGGCUAAGGCAGAAGAACGGCUUGAACCCGGGAGGUGGAGUUUGCAGUGGGCCAAGAUCGCGCCACUGCACUCCAGCCUGGGUGACAGAGUGAGAGUCUGUCUCAAAAAAAAAAAAAAAAAAAAAAAA